AUGCUCCAUCUCGACCCUCAAUCCGUGACCCUUCUUGCCGUCUUUGCCUUCGUGUGUGAGGCCAUGGUGGGCAUCACCCCCUCCGUGGCGCUCCUCCGCCACUUCUCGCUGCAUCUCACCGGUGCCCGGCAGAGCUCAGGGUGUGUGGGCUUCCAGGCCGUGGCUGCGACGGCAGGCAUGGGGAGCAACUUCGAGCUCCCUUCAUCCGGGAGCGAGUUCUGCAUGCGAUGGGUGUUUGUUGAUGCCGGCAUGCUCAACCCUCUGCUCCAAGCUCCGGUGGGGUCACCAGAGGCUCCCAAGCCCUUGCCUCGCCCCCCUCAGGGCCAGACUGCGGUGGUUGAAGGACCUUGGUGUGACUGCGCCCAUAGUGGUGAGGGAGUACGUCAAGCAUCGAGUUGCCACGCUUCAGCGGCAUUCUCACCCAAUGUGGGUGUGACGCCCCCGAUUUGA
rnacentral:rRNA from 1 species